rnacentral:lncRNA from 1 species
CCGUGCACGGCGGCGGGGAGACCAAAAGUCUCCCCUUUUUCGCCGAAUCGUCUCCUCGACCCUCCGAGCACUCCGGCGGUGACCAAAAGGUGAAAAGUUUCUUCCUCUUUUAUUAUUUUGUUUCGAAAAUAAGAAAAGAAAUAAAAAAAAUGGAAAAAAUAUGCAACCUGUUUUUUAUUUCUUUUCCUUCAGAUCUUGUAAAAAGGUUACAAAGAGAAAAGAGCCCCCCAAAAUCUCGUAGAAAAAUACAGAAAAAUCGAUACCCCCCUCCUUUACAAUGCAACACAUUCGGCUUUAUAGCCGAAAGAAAAGAAAAAAAGAUCUAAGAAAAUCUCUCAUUGCUACUGUUUUCGUCUGCUUUGCGUGUUUCUUUUCUCUUUGCAGGGAGUUGUUGGCACGGCAGGGAGGAGGCCGUACGGUGGCAGAGGGUAGGUGGUGCGGCGCCAGAGAUUAGGAGGCUAGGGUUUAUCUUUUUUUGUUUAGGUUGUGGGCUGUUAGGAUUAGAUUUAGGUGGGUUGGGAUUUGGGUCUUUAUUGGGCCAUCUGAUUUGGGUUUGUAAUUGGGUUAGUUUGAGUUUGUUUAAGUGUACUGGGCUGAUUUUGGGUUAGGUCUAGGUGGGUCUAGGGUUGGUUUUAUUUGGACCAUAUUGGGCCCCGGGUAAAUUUGGGCUUGUACACUAUGUUUUAAGAGGGAAAGUUAACCAAAAUGAUAAAAGACAAAAGAAUGGUAAAGUAG